GACAGAGGGUGCAAACGUUGUUCGGAAUUACUGGGCGUAAAGCGCACGUAGGCGGACUCUUAAGUCGGGGGUGAAAGCCCAGGGCUCAACCCUGGAACUGCCUUCGAUACUGGGAGUCUUGAGUGUGGAAGAGGUUGGUGGAACUGCGAGUGUAGAGGUGAAAUUCGUAGAUAUUCGCAAGAACACCAGUGGCGAAGGCGGCUCACUGGCCCGGUACUGACGCUGAGGUGCGAAAGCGUGGGGAGCAAACAGG
rnacentral:rRNA from 1 species